rnacentral:rRNA from 1 species
AUUGAACGCUGGCGGCAGGCUUAACACAUGCAAGUCGAGCGGGGUGAUGGUGCUUGCACUAUCACUUAGCGGCGGACGGGUGAGUAAUGCUUAGGAAUCUGCCUAUUAGUGGGGGACAACAUCUCGAAAGGGAUGCUAAUACCGCAUACGUCCUACGGGAGAAAGCAGGGGAUCACUUGUGACCUUGCGCUAAUAGAUGAGCCUAAGUCGGAGUAGCUAGUUGGUGGGGUAAAGGCCUACCAAGGCGACGAUCUGUAGCGGGUCUGAGAGGAUGAUCCGCCACACUGGGACUGGGACACGGCCCAGACGCCUACGGGAGGCAGCAGUGGGGAAUAUUGGACAAUGGGUGGGAACCCUGAUCCAGCCAUGCCGCGUGUGUGAAGAAGGCCUUAUGGUUGUAAAGCACUUUAAGCGAGGAGGAGGCUCUUGGUUAAUACCCAAGAUGAGUGGACGUUACUCGCAGAAUAAGCACCGGCUAACUCUGUGCCAGCCGCCGCCGUAA